rnacentral:rRNA from 1 species
CGUACACUCCUACGGGAGGCAGCAGUGGGGAAUAUUGGACAAUGGGCGCAAGCCUGAUCCAGCCAUGCCGCGUGAGUGAUGAAGGCCCUAGGGUUGUAAAGCUCUUUCACCGGUGAAGAUAAUGACGGUAACCGGAGAAGAAGCCCCGGCUAACUUCGUGCCAGCAGCCGCGGUAAUACGAAGGGGGCUAGCGUUGUUCGGAUUUACUGGGCGUAAAGCGCACGUAGGCGGACUAUUAAGUCAGGGGUGAAAUCCCGGGGCUCAACCCCGGAACUGCCUUUGAUACUGGUAGUCUUGAGUUCGAGGGAGGUGGGUGGAAUUCCGAGUGUAGAGGUGAAAUUCGUAGAUAUUCGGAGGAACACCAGUGGCGAAGGCGGCUCACUGGCUCGAUACUGACGCUGAGGUGCGAAAGCGUGGGGAGCAAACAGGAUUAGAAACCCCGGUAGUCCCA